rnacentral:lncRNA from 1 species
UUGAGCUUGCAUUAAAUACAUGUAUUCUGUACGUGUUUUGUAGAAUGGAAAAUAGAAUUCUUUCUUUCAUGUGUUAGUCGUUAUCUUAGCAAAACUAUCUAUUUCGAGUGUACCAAACUGCCCAGUAAGCAAUCACCAUAAUCUUCAUAUCUCUAAUAUCUGCUUGAUUGAAGACCUCUCUGCUAACCAAAGCCUGUAAUCUGGUUAUUGUGAGGCAAGAAACACCCCAAUUUUCAACGAGCCAAAUGUUUGCUUAGAGAUAGAAUAAAAUCUCAACAAAUAAUCCACCGUUUCUUCAGCUUCCUUGCACAAAGGAGAUAGGUUGUCAACACGCAGCUUGCACCUCAAUAAAUUCCCAAAAGUAGGUAAAAAAUUAUUAAAAAAUCUAUACAUAGUAAUCUUAAUUUUUGCUGGAAUUUGUAAUGUCCAUAACUUUGUAUAAAACACUAUAAUUACGCUAGGCAUAGUCGUAGAAUGUAAUCUCCUAUUGUGUAACUCUUCAUCAAGAAGCAACUUGUAUCCACUCAUGGAAGAAUAUUCACUCGACCCUUUAUAGCGCCACACAAAAGUAUCUGGAGGUCUCGUUUGAGCAAAUGGAACAGUAAGAACCUUCUCAUCCUAAUCGAUCUUAAGAAUGGAUCUAACUCAUCAUUUAAUCCAGGUACACGAAUCUGCAUUAGUCAAUUGUGCCACAAUAGUAAAUCUAACAUUUAUAUGCUGACACUGAACUCUUUCAUUUCUUGGACUAGGAAUCCAAGAAUUAUUCCAUAUAUUGACCUUAUCCCCAAUACCAAUUCGCCAACCAACUCCUAUUUCAAUUAAACCCCUAGCGCUUAAGAUACUUCUCCAGUUAAAUUAAGAGUAAGUUCUAACCGAGCUAACAUAAAAUCUAUCUGUGGAUAAUACCUAGCUUUCAAAAAUUUAGCCAACAAACUAUCUGGAUGAGUAAUAAUACGCCAACAUCUUUUGGCUAAUAGGGCAAUAUUAAAUUUGGACAAAUCACAAAAACCUAAUCCUCCCUCUGCUUUCGGCAAACAAAGUGAAUGUCAUGUAACUCAAUGUAUAGCUCAUCAAGAUUUAUUUUUCCUUUACCAAAAUAAGUUAAGAAAAUUUUCUAACUUGCUAAAUAACACUUUUGGUAAGAGGAAACACUACAUUGCAUAGACAGGUAUAGCUUGCAAAACUGCCUUAAUAAAGACCUCUUUCUCCCCCCAAUCGACAAAUAUCUCAUACUCUAGUCUUCUACUUUCUUGUUAAACCGACCCAAGUAAUGCACAAAAGCUUGCUUCUUACGUCUACCAACCAUCAUCGGCAGACCCAAAUACUUUUCUGGGCUUGUUAAAACCCUAACUCCUAAAAGGCUAUCCACAAUCUCCCGCUCAACUGAUCCAACAUUAGCCCCAAAAUGAUUCACCUUGCCUCAAACCUCUCGAAGGUAAAAAUGAUUCACUACUGCAAACAUUAACGCCAAUCGUAUAGGAAACAUAGGUCACACACUUCAUAACCAAAGCCACACAACUAUCACGAAAGCCCAAUGUAACAUUAUCCCUGCUAAAAAAUCUCACUCCACCCUAUCAUAUGCUUUACUCAUGUCGAGCUUAAACACAAAAUUACCCUGCUAGCCAAAUCUUUUUAUUUUAAGGGAAUGCAAAAUUUCAUACGCAACUAGAACAUUAUCUACAAUCUGCCUUCCAGGUAUAAAAGCUCAUUGAGCCUCAUCAAGACAACCUUUCAAAACUCUACUCAUUCUGCCCACUAUUACUUUAGCAAUGAUUUUGUACAGAACAUUGUACAAGCUAAUAGGUCUAAAUUACGUCAUGUUUCUGGGACUACUGACCUUCAGGAUCAAGACAAUAUGAGUCUUAUUUAUUUCCUCAAUGGCAACCUCCCCACGAAGAACCGCAAGAUAGUAUUUCGUAGCAUCAUUGCCUACAAUAUGCCAAUAUUUUUUUUGUAAAAAAAAAGCAAGAAAACCAUUAAUACAUGAUUCUUUAAUAGGUUUCAUAGACUUGACUGCAGCCUAUACUUCCUCAAGUCUGAAAGGUAGCAACAACUACUUAUUUAUACCUGGUGAAGCCUUUCUUUGAACAUUAGCACAAAUCCACGAAGCAUCCCUCGCAGGGGAGGCCGUAAAAAUUUCAAUGAAAUAAUUUGAGGCAAUUUUCAAAACCUCUUCCUCCUCAGAUACCCAAAUUGCCUCUUCACCCUCAAUACCGAUAAUAUUAUUGCACUUUUUUCGACCAGUUGCAACUUUAUGAAAGAAAGCAAUGUUUCUAUCACCAUUUAAAAGCCAAUUGAUACGAGUUCUCUGUUGCCAAAAUAAUUCCGCCUUAUCUGCUUCUAAUUCAAGCUAAGCUGAAUCUUUGACAACUCAGUGAAGAUAUCAUCAUUUGGAUCUUUUUUAUAAAGCUCUUUCAUUUUGAGUUGUAGCCUUUUUUUUAUUAACCUCUCUAUUUCUUUUUACCGUAUGGCUCUAAUGUCUCAACUUUCUUCCUAACCCAACCAAUUUUGAAGGCAACGUGUCUAAAGAUGAAGACUAAAAUUGGCUUAUUGCUUCUUCACAAAACCCCUCCAAACACCAAUUAGCAUCAAAACGAAAAUUAUGACAACCCCCUCUCUGCCAACGUCUUCGCCCUUUCAUAUCUAUUACUACUAGAUAGUGAUCAAUAAAAGAAUGUCUCCAAUGAGCAACUGAAUAAUUAAGAAACAAACUCUACCAUGUUGUAUUCGGCACUCCCCUAUCAAGCUUCUCCCAAAUGUUGUUUGCCACUAAUCUACCUCUCUUCCACAUGAACCAGCACCUUGUAAACCCUAAAUUACUUAGAUCACAGUCUUGUAGAGAAGAUCUAAAAGCCUCCAUAUUCCUUUUCACUCGUAACCAUGCACAUUUAUUUUUAAAAAAUAUACUAUCUCAUUAAAAUACCCAACUACCAACCACGGAAUAGAUUGAUCUUCACCCAACUGGAAAAGUAGAUCUUAAGAAUUGCUCAUUAGGCGUUCCUUAGGAUGCCUAUAAAACCAGUAAAACGCCAUAAAAAACCCUCUUGCUCAUCUUGAAUGUCAACAUCAAUAUGAUACUGCGAAUAGCUUUGCAAACUAGAUACUGCGAAUAGCUUUGCAAACUAACCACACAACUUUGUCUCUAACCCAACGAUAAUCCUCCUCUAGAACCCACUACUCCCACAUUAAUUCCAUUAGAAAAUUCACACUUCCUCCUAACUACUUCCAUCAUUCUCGCGCUAACUUUUUUUUAUAAGAAACACAAUUUGGGAACAAAUUUCUCUCAGCUUACUCCUGAGACGAUUUAUAGCAUGUGGCUUCCUCAGCCCACGAACAUUCCAACUUAAGGUUUUCAUUGCGCCUAGCUGGCCUACAUUGUAGAGCUAGCCGAUCUAUCUUAACAUUCCCUUGAACCCCAACAUCGCUAUUGAACAAAUCAGUAGAAAUUGCACCAAGCAUUCGUUGUCUUUUUUUCCCUUCAACAAAUUGAAUAGAACACUCUUUACCAUCUGAGCCUAACUCCAUAAGCUCAAAAUCAUUAGACCCAUUAACCUUCGACUCAUUCUCCCAGUUAGGUACUCAUUCAUUUGCAUUAGCCAAUUGGAAUCUUAUGGACCAUACCAGAUUUUAAUUGCGAUUAGGAUAGAUAUUUGUAACAUUAUCCCCAAAAUUACAUUCGUUCAUAGUCCUAUCCUUAUCCAACCUCUGACUCACCGUUCUAUCUGACUCCUGUAACCAUCUGCUAACUACCGAAGACCCUUUUUGUAACCGGAGCACACAACGAAAUAUCCCACCCAAAAAGAAUCUUAGCCAGAUCUAUCCUCACCCUAACUGGGAAAAAACUCUACCCAUGCUCAAGCUUCCCAUAGAGAAAACAAAAUACGCUGAGCUUUUUAUACUGAAACCUAACAUAUAGCAUCUAACUAGCCCCCAACACAAUCUUCUUUUUACGCUCAAUGGAAGUCAAAUGUCCAGUCGAACCUUAAUCCUCAUAUACCUCUUCACAACAAACAUUGAAAUCUUCGUAUCAUAAUCAAGAAAACUGCCCAAAAAAUAACGAAAUUGAUGCGCAAUUGCUUUUGACAUCAGACCCGAAGGCAGAUCGUGAAUCUACACCCAAAACUCCACAUAUAACAAUGGCAAUGUAUUCGGAUCCUCCCCUAGUUGAAUCUUAUGCAAUAACAACAAAUGAUUAUUAAAAAACCACAGAGUCCCCUCUAAAACCCAAUUCACAUCAACUUCAUAAAAGAACCAAACAAAACAUGCUUCUCACCUAGAUUUGUGAUAGAAAUACCUUCAAUAGGGUACCAUAAAUCAGCCAAUGUGUUUCUCAAUGAAGAGAAGUGCACUACACUAUCUGUUAAGCAACUUCCAACAAAACAAAACUUGAAAUCUUUUCUAACUCACUCUCCUCUUGAAACGCCUCCACCUCCUCGUCGACAAGAAUCAAAUUUUCCAACUCGUCCUCCAUGGCCUCCUCCACGAGCC